GGCGGAGUAGCCAACUGGAUCAAGGCAGUGGAUUGUGAAUCCACCAUGCGCG
rnacentral:tRNA from 1 species